rnacentral:rRNA from 1 species
CCUACGGGGGGCAGCAGUGGGGAAUAUUGCACAAUGGGGGAAACCCUGAUGCAGCAACGCCGCGUGGGUGAAGGAGCGUUUCGGCGCGUAAAGCUCUGUUAGCGGGGAAGAAGAAAGACGGUACCCGACCAAGAAGCCCCGGCUAACUACGUGCCAGCAGACGCGGUAAUACGGAGGGGGCGAGCGUUAUCCGGAAGUACUGGGUGUAAAGGGAGCGUAGACGGGGAGGUAAGGCUGAAGUGGAAGCCCGCGGCCCAACCGCGGAACGGCUGUGGAAACUGUUAUGCUUGAGUGGGGGUGGGGUAAGCGGAAUUCGUGGUGUAGCGGUGAAAUGCGUAGAUAUAAGGAAGAACACCGGUGGCGAAGGCGGCUUACUGGACCAUAACUGACGUUGAGGCUCGAAAGCGUGGGGAGCGAACAGGAUUAGAUACCCUAGUAGUC